UUUGGUCCGGCCCUGCCGAGGCGUGAGGGGUGAGUUAAUUAAACGUUGGACCAAAUGCAGCAGCCUAACGUUUAAGUGGGUCAUUUUGUAUGGCCGCCGAAUGAUGUGAUAAAUAUCCGAAUGGCCCGCGGCAGACACGGGCUCCCACCCCGGCAGUGAAAGUGACCUCCUGUGGCCUAGAUCCCAGGCAGCCGCUCCCCCGAGAGAGGUGAGCAUCCCUCAGCUGGCGGGGCAGCUCCCCAGUCCGCAGGAGCCAGUCCCGCCACCCUCGACCCUGGGCCCUGGGCUCUGUUACAAAACUGUUGGCCUGGGCGACGCUGACUCCCUCGUGGGGCUUUGGUUGGGGGCACCCAGUGGGUUCACUGUCUAUUUGAGCUUGAGUGCGUUGUGAGCGUAUUUGACGGGACCUUAAAUGAGUUUGCCAGGUGCCCACCUGGGUCUCGGCCCUCCCUGGGCCUUGGAGCCCGCAGCCCCUGCCUGAGACCCGCAGCUCCCGGACUUGGAAAGGCUUCGUGGCCUGAAGGCACUGGCUUUCCUGUCCUCCCCGCUCGCCUCCGCGGAAACCCUCCUCCGUAGGAGGGCCCCACAGACCCCCGAGCCCCUCAUAGUUUUAAUUUUAGGUCCUUUUCUACUUGGCUUUCCUCUGAAUUGCCACCACUUCCCACCUGCCCACCCCCCAACCUCUUAGCCUGUGCAUCCCCCAACCCCAAGCUGGGUGGGGCCCCGGUAAUUUAAAAAAACAACAACAACUAAAUUUACUAUUUCAGCUCUUGUUCCUGGCCUGACCCCUGAGUUCCGUUCUGCCUCAGGGAGACCCCUCCCAGCAUGCAUCCCACUCAGCUCCCAGGCCCCCGGUGACUCCUUUGUCACCACGACGUCCCACACGCCCUGUCCCAGUCCGUGCACAGCUGGAUGCCUGUGCCUUGUUUACUUUAUUUGGAAAUGGCUUAAACCUUAUGAAAAGGCACAGAAAUAGUGAAAACAGUACAAAGUUCACACAGAUGUCCUCACCCAGACCCACCUGUUAACAUGUUCUCUCACACACA